rnacentral:rRNA from 2 species
ACGGGUGAGUAACACGUGGAUAACCUACCUAUAAGACUGGGAUAACUUCGGGAAACCGGAGCUAAUACCGGAUAAUAUUUUGAACCGCAUGGUUCAAAAGUGAAAGACGGUCUUGCUGUCACUUAUAGAUGGAUCCGCGCUGCAUUAGCUAGUUGGUAAGGUAACGGCUUACCAAGGCAACGAUGCAUAGCCGACCUGAGAGGGUGAUCGGCCACACUGGAACUGAGACACGGUCCAGACUCCUACGGGAGGCAGCAGUAGGGAAUCUUCCGCAAUGGGCGAAAGCCUGACGGAGCAACGCCGCGUGAGUGAUGAAGGUCUUCGGAUCGUAAAACUCUGUUAUUAGGGAAGAACAUAUGUGUAAGUAACUGUGCACAUCUUGACGGUACCUAAUCAGAAAGCCACGGCUAACUACGUGCCAGCAGCCGCGGUAAUACGUAGGUGGCAAGCGUUAUCCGGAAUUAUUGGGCGUAAAGCGCGCGUAGGCGGUUUUUUAAGUCUGAUGUGAAAGCCCACGGCUCAACCGUGGAGGGUCAUUGGAAACUGGAAAACUUGAGUGCAGAAGAGGAAAGUGGAAUUCCAUGUGUAGCGGUGAAAUGCGCAGAGAUAUGGAGGAACACCAGUGGCGAAGGCGACUUUCUGGUCUGUAACUGACGCUGAUGUGCGAAAGCGUGGGGAUCAAACAGGAUUAGAUACCCUGGUAGUCCACGCCGUAAACGAUGAGUGCUAAGUGUUAGGGGGUUUCCGCCCCUUAGUGCUGCAGCUAACGCAUUAAGCACUCCGCCUGGGGAGUACGACCGCAAGGUUGAAACUCAAAGGAAUUGACGGGGACCCGCACAAGCGGUGGAGCAUGUGGUUUAAUUCGAAGCAACGCGAAGAACCUUACCAAAUCUUGACAUCCUUUGACAACUCUAGAGAUAGAGCCUUCCCCUUCGGGGGACAAAGUGACAGGUGGUGCAUGGUUGUCGUCAGCUCGUGUCGUGAGAUGUUGGGUUAAGUCCCGCAACGAGCGCAACCCUUAAGCUUAGUUGCCAUCAUUAAGUUGGGCACUCUAAGUUGACUGCCGGUGACAAACCGGAGGAAGGUGGGGAUGACGUCAAAUCAUCAUGCCCCUUAUGAUUUGGGCUACACACGUGCUACAAUGGACAAUACAAAGGGCAGCGAAACCGCGAGGUCAAGCAAAUCCCAUAAAGUUGUUCUCAGUUCGGAUUGUAGUCUGCAACUCGACUACAUGAAGCUGGAAUCGCUAGUAAUCGUAGAUCAGCAUGCUACGGUGAAUACGUUCCCGGGUCUUGUACACACCGCCCGUCACACCACGAGAGUUUGUAACACCCGAAGCCGGUGGAGUAACCUUUUAGGAGCUAGCCGUCGAAGGUGGGACAAAUGAUUGGGGUGAAGUCGUAACAAGGUAGCCGUAUCGGAAGGUGCGGCUGGAUCACCUCCUUU